CAACCAUCAAGCCCCCGGCUUGUGUUGGGGACCUGCGGCACACCCGCAGGCCCUGAAAACCAGUGGCGGGCUCGCUGUCCACACCGAGCGUAGUAGCAUAUCUUGUCUCGCUCAGGGCGUGCGGCGGGUUCCGGCCGUGAAACCCACCUUCUCGAAGGUACCCAAA
rnacentral:misc_RNA from 1 species